rnacentral:lncRNA from 10 species
GAAAACUGCUUUUUUUUUUUCAAAUCCAGAAUUUCUAUGUUUUUGUAGGAGUAGAGAUGUUGGUUUCCUAUAUCAGCUUAGCCUACCAUCUUGACUAAUGUUCUUAUUUAAUCUUAAUAAACCUCAGUUUUCUUAUCUGCAAUACUGAGAUAAAGAUGGCAUCUACAUUGUAGGGUUGUCAUGAGGAUUAAAUGAGAUAACAAAUUUAAAACACUUAUUUACUGAACACAUAGUAAUUGCUUAGCACAUUAUAUUAUCAUGUAAAUCAGCUGCUAUUAUCAUGUAAAUAAUGUACAUCAGCCAAAUUUCAGAUACUCAAUAAUUUAUCACUAUAAUCUAUAAUUAUGGUUAUUAGUAUGGGUCCUCAUCUCAGAUCCAUUCAUGAUUGGGAACUAUAUCAAGAAUUCAGAAGACCUAGCAAAUAGUGCCAAAACUAUCCAAGUAUAUCUAUAAUCUACAAGUCACAGUUGUUUUGAGAAUCACUGAAAUAAAUACUUUGAGGAUAGUGGUUUUGCCUCCAACCGGACAUUUGACAAUGUUUGGGCGGCAUUUUUGAUAAUCAUGAUUUGUGGGGCAGUAAGCUAGUGGCUUCUAGUGGGUAGAAGUAAGUGGUGCUAUUAAACAUCCUAUAAUGCACGGUAUAGCCUCCUACAACAAAGAAUUACCUAGCCCAAAAUUUCAAAGGUGCUGAGGUUGAGAAACCCUGAAUUCGUUUAUUAAACCUCUUCAUGUUUCAAAUUCAGUUUAUUUUUAAACUAUGUAUUUCAAAAAGUUUGUGAGUUGUACUGUUCACUGAAUUAAUAGUUGGAUGUUAAUUGUAAGUUGGUGACCAAAGAUGUCAAUCUGGUUCAGGGGAGAUUUUCACACAAUCAAAGAUUUCUUUGGCAUUCAAGGGAGUAGAGCAGUUACCAAAUUUACAUUUCUAUGCAGCAAAGAACAAAAAUGAAAAUAUUAAUGGAAACAACACAAUAACAAUAUCAAUAAUGCAACAACUCACAUACAGACACUUACACAUACAAAUAAGCACACAGCCAUACACAGAAAAGUCAAUGGAGUUGGAGUGAGACUUUCAGAGACAAUGUGAAAUUAGCUAGGGACAUUUAAAUCCUGGAGCAGAUAGCAUCUAACAUUUAUACUGCUAAAAUUUCUGGAUUUGUUAUCAAUAUGAAAUUGAGUUCCUCCAGGAAUCUCUCUCUUCCCUAACUCUCUGAAGCCUCUUUUUAAAAGUCUUUUCACCAUAUUUUAAUUUUCUAUUUUUGUAUCUCUCUCAUUUUCUAGACAUAUUUAAGGGCAAAUAUCCUGUUUUACUCAUUUUCUUAUCAACAGCAUUAAUCGUGGAGCUUGAUACAUAGAAGACACUCAAUAAAUGUUUGAGGUAAAGAAUGAAUAAGUGAAUGAUUAACACCUCCCUGGGUUUAUCCGUAUUUAUAGUGAUAUUUAAGGAUACACACCAACUAAGGUAGGCAUCACAGAAUGCAUUCAGUACCUACAAAAUGGAAUUGAAAAUGCAAGGAUAAAUGGAAGCCCACUCUCAAAUGACAUAACAGGGUUGUGCGGGAUUGGAAAACAAUGUCAACAAAGUAAAAAACUUGAUGUAAAGCAAUCUAAAAUGAAAUUUAAACAAAGACUGAAGUAAUUCCUGUUGUCUCAGAAUCAGACAAACACCACUAGGCUCUGCAAAUAGCAAUGGCAACCCCAAAGCCAAGAACACACUUUGCUUAUGUGUGUGCUGAUGGUGUCUUUGGUUUAUAAUUGUGUGAGCCAACCAGCCUGGCUUCUCCCAGUCAGAUUAACACAGCAUCCAGCAUAUUGUACUUUCUAUAAAACAGAUAUACAUAUUUAAAUAACAGCAUCACAUCUCUAAUGAACAUAUCAUCUAUUGCCACUAUUUGUAUGCUCAAUUUAGGAAAAGCUGUAAUGUCAACUUAGAAAUAGAGAAAUAUACAUCUGAGCGGAAACAUUUUUUGUCUGUUUAAAUAAUUUUCAACCUUUUCCAUUGAUUUUUGAAAUACUAAUAUUUUGUGCCUUCUUUAAUGACAAUGACAUAAUAUAUUCUCGCUUAAGAUGCUGCCUUAGUUUCAUCUGGAGAUCUUUUCUUUGUCUUAUAGAUGAGGAAACUGAGCCUUAAAAAGGUGAAGAACUUGACCCCAGACAUAACAACUAGAAAGUGACGAAACAGAGAUUGAAGCCCAGGUCUUUCUGGCUCUGUAUCUUGGCAUUGUCUCCUGUGCCUAGUGUUUACCAAAUUUCCAGUUUUUUGACAAACUUCUCCAUAUUGGGACUUUGCAUUUUCCACUUUUAGUUAUUUGUUGCAAAACAUACUUGAAUAUAAAAGUUUCCAUUUUAAAUUAGAAUAAUUCAGAAAUUACUCACACUAUGCAACUCUGUACUAUGCUCUAUAUAGUAUAGAAGAAAGUCCUGUCUUUCCUAAGACAAUUUUGUUUCUUUCAUGAGUGUUUCGACAAAUAUACAGAUAUUUCAUAUGAUAAUCAACCAAAAGUAUCUCCUUCAAAUUCUUUUAUUCUAAAAUUGCAAGUAAAAUAUAGAUAUAUUCUUGUAAAAGAUUCAAAUGACAUAGAAAAAGCAAAGUCCUCUCCCAUUUUUAGUCCCUUCCCCAGAAGCAGCCACCUGAGCCAGUUAUUAAUCUAGAUUCCUCACCAACAAAUCCACCUCCCCUUACUCUGCUUUUGAUGUGCAGCUGGGCUGUGACUCCGCCAACAAUAUCCCCAGAUUGCUUUACCAGAUGGCUUCCUGGAAGUUUUUUUCCAGCAGGAAGUGGGAGGAGGGGAGAAAGGACUUCCCUGCUUUUUCCCAUUCCUGUCAGUGUUAGUCUCACCAGUGGAAUUUGCCCCGGUCUCUAUGCCCUUUUGGCAACCCCAGGACCUUCCUUAGGGACUCCUCAGAAGUGCAGCUGAAACAGGUGGGGCUCCCUCCACAAAUGUCUGAGCACACUCCUCUGGGGCCUCCUUUAUAUGUCUAGAUUCCUGUAACCCUGCCUUUUCCUUUUUGUUUUCCCAGACCUAGGAUGGUAGCUCUUUCCUGCAGUUAUUUUCUCUGGUUUCCCUCAGUGUUUCUGCUGUGUUCUCUCAGUCCUCUAAUUCUUGUGUUAAAUCUCCUCUGUUUGCAAUGUAAUAAAUUAUUUUUCUGCAUUUCUGACUGAACUCUGACAUAUAUAUCACCACGAUCAUAUUGACUUACACCCCUACACAUAGUUUUCUUUCUAUUUUUAUUUCCAAUUUAAUAUUUUGUGAUUUUUAUAAAUUGUUAUUUCUGUAUACAAAGAAAGUGAAGUGUGGUAAUAUUAGAAAAAAGUAACAAGUACAAAGCCGUGAAAGAGAAGAUAAUACUGCCACUGAUAGAUGCAGGCUUUCAGAAGAAGAAAAGUUAAAUGGAGUUUCCAGGUCAUAGUCUGACUUCAUCUUCCUUGAGUUUCCAGGUACUCCUUCUGGGAAGAGCUGGUUUUGGAGAAGUGAAAUAUUAGGCAUCAAUAGUUCUUAACGUAGAUCUCCGAAGAGAUGAUAGCAAGCGAGAGGCCCUCUUCUGGCAAGAGUGAAAGGAAAGUGAAUCGUUUCAGAAAGCAAGUAAUGUGUGGAAAAUGCUUUUUCAACCUGAAGGUGAUGCACAAUUUUUUACUCUUGAAAUCACUAUGAUUGUUCCUAGGGCCAGUCUGAAAGUUGAUUGCCUGUAUCAGCUCUACCAAAUUACUAGGCCUUCCAUAUUCUCCCACGACUCAAGACCAACAAAUUUCAUAUGCCAUUUUUCAUGGACUCUAGCAGCGAUUGUUUCUGGCUAAAAGGAAAGGAGGCUGUGGGAUCUUCUUUGUGUAGGUCAUGAUCUAUUCAGGCCCCAAGCACACGUUGGUGAGUAUAAUGAAAACAAAACUUGAUGGAUAAUUUGCCCUGAGCAUUAUCCUCUAGGAUUAGAAUUCUUCAACUAAAAUCACUAGAGAAGGUCAAAUAGCCUGCUUUAUUAUACAUUAUUUACAAUAGAAAAUUCAUUAACUUCCUUUCUUAAAAGCUCUUUAACAGAGCUAUUUACCACCAUCACAUUUCCUUCUCCAUUUCUUUUUUGCAAAGGUUGACUUGGCAAGAACUUUAUUUCACUUUGCUAUGCUCUGAACUUUUGGUGCGUAUUCUCAUUUAUUUUUCAGUGAACCAUUUUGGCUGUUUGGCCUAAAGUAGUUCACUC